rnacentral:rRNA from 1 species
UACGUAGGGUGCAAGCGUUGUCCGGAAUUAUUGGGCGUAAAGAGCUCGUAGGCGGUCUGUCGCGUCGGCUGUGAAAUCCCGAGGCUCAACCUCGGGUCUGCAGUCGAUACGGGCAAACUAGAGUAUUGCAGGGGAGACUGGAAUUCCUGGUGUAGCGGUGAAAUGCGCAGAUAUCAGGAGGAACACCGGUGGCGAAGGCGGGUCUCUGGGCAAUAACUGACGCUGAGUGCGCGAAAGCCAGGGGAGCAAACGGG